AACCACUGCUAUGUUUAUGGUGUUGUGUGAAGUUGGGAAAUCUCAUUUAACAUGAGUAACGGCAGUAAUGACAUAUAGGUAGAGAACAGCUUUGUGUUGCUGUAGGAAAACCUCUGUGUGCCUCUUUUAUUCAACACCUUGCUCUCCUAAGUCACUCUGCUCUCUGUCUUCUUUCUGUCUACCUUCUUUUCUGUUCCUUGCAUCGGUGGUCAUGUCUUGGAGUUCACCCUUCAUUUUCCUGCUCUUCCUCCUCAAAGUUCAGAGUGUGGACUUAAUUAAUGAUCGGUCCAUCUCCUAUCUGACGGGUUUUGCGGUUCCAGAGAUCGACGGUUCAGCUGUGGAUGCAACCUGCAGGAUUUUCUUUGAUUAUACACCUGACACUCCCACUGAGAUAACCACAACCUCCCCCAUCACCAGGAAGCAGCAGGUAGCCACUACAACUAAAAAGCCAUCUGUCAAGCCGCCACUUAAGAAACCACAGACCAAAGAUGCUGGAGUACCAGUCAGGAUACAGCCAGCUGCUGUGAUACCAAUCCCUAACAGCCAAUCCAACGCUGCCCUCAGAAUCCUUUACUACUUACUGGCCAAUAGACAAAGACAAAUAGGACGUUCACAGAUGGCAUCACGCAGUGCCAAGUCAUCAGCAACCUGGAAAGCAGGUUCAUUCUCUUCUGAGGACUCAAGUGAUGAAUCUUAAAAUCAUACCAUGACCAUGUUUUGAACCUGAUUUUCUGUUACAGAUUUGUGAAUGUUUUUCUUUUAUUAGUUUAUUUUAAACUCUACCACAUCGAGCAGCUAGGACAGUAGUUGUUGUACCUGGCUGUUGUAACAGGAUUGUUUUGGGGAUGUUUCAGUGACUGUAUGAUACUGUUCUUAGCUUAGGUUUAGUUAGCAAAUCACAACCCAUCCCUUAUUUUAUCCUUAAAGGCUCUUUUACUUUGAUCUCAUAAAAAAUAAAACAACAACACUAAUGUAAUGAAUUCAUUUAAGCGGUGAUUGAAAAUGUAUUUACAAACUAUUUAUUUGCCACUUUAAAAGGUUUAUCGUAAUUAAACAGAAAAACAAGUUACAAUGAUUUACAUUGUCUAUCUCUUUGAAAAAAUGUUCAAAGUUCACUGUUUUAAUCCUGUGUUUUUAACAGUUUUUGGUUAUUUGACAAAUCACUCAAUCUAAAUCUGGUUACAGAAGCAAAAUCCAGAUAAAUAAACCUUUAUAAUGGACAAAAGGAUAAACAUUUGUGUCCAUAAAUAAAAGUAAAUUUCAUGUUUGUUUUAGUGUGUUUCAGUGCUGUUGUGUCCACGCUGCUGUGGUUCUGAUGGUAGAUGGGAUGGUUGUUUGACUUUUCGCUGG
ensembl:lncRNA